UCUGUGUCUGUGUCUGUGUCUGUGUCUGUGUCUGUGUCUGUGUCUGUCUGUCUCUCUCUCUCUCUCUCUCUCUCUCUCUCUCUCUCCCACAGGACUAUUUUCAGCCUAAAGAAGAAUGGAAUCUUCCAGCUACAGAAAAAUUGAGAGGCUCAAAGAAUAUGUUACACGAAAUACAUAAAACAAGAAAAGUUUCCUUCCUUCCACACUUUCUCCCUUGGAGAGAGAGUUCCUGUGGACCAACAAGUUUGGGAACAUGCAAACAUGGCGAACAUACCUGUGGAUUCUCUUGAGUUGAAAAGAACACCUGGAUUGCUUAUAACCAGGAACAAAAGGCUUUCACCAAGAAGAACACUUGAAUUGCUGUGCCACUAAGUGAAGGUCUGAAGUUGUCGGGUCUCUGCUCUUCUCUGUCUUGCAAAGGCAUAGGAGAAGUGCUUGUUGGUUAAAUUGUUAAAGUGAGGUGUAUACAAGUGGAAUAGACUAGCAGCAAAGAAAUCCAUCCACUGGUGUGCCCUGGGCUUCUCUUGGUCGGGGGGGGGGGUGACUGAGCUGAGAGUGGAAAUCCAAAUACAACUCAGUGACUACAUCCGAGAAAUAAAGUCUAAGAAAUAAUAAAACCACUGAGCAAGACAGUGACAUGACAUUAGAAGGAGAGAGGAAGACAUAUACAUAGCACACGUGGUAGAUUCUGCAACAGCACCUGGCCCUGGGAAAAUCCUGUCAGAGUGUCCUUUGCCCAGUCUAGAGUGGACCAUGGGAUAAAACUGGACUGCAGUACCAGUCUUUUCAGGGCUGAUUAUUAGCACUGGCAAUAGAGACACACUUGCACAUUUCAAUAUUAUUAUUUAAAUACCUUGAUCUCCUGAUGGGGGUAGCCAUUUGAAAAUGUGCUUUAUAUCAGUAAGGGAAGGUCACAAGGAAGAUGGGAAUGGCAAGACCUGAAUUCUAUUUUUGUUUCUGCCUCUAACAAGGUGUGCAACCUUGACCAAAAUUCUUGAAAAGUAUAGUUAAAGUACCUUUCUCUUUCUAUCAAGCUCGAAAGUAUUGUGUCUGAGACCAAAUAACUCAUAAAAUAAAAACAAAUCCACAACAAAGAAAGAAAGAAAAGCAAUACAUCCCCCAAACGAAACCCCCAAAAGAGCCAAGCAAAAUCCAGAACCAAACAAUCAGCUGUGAAUUCAAACCUGAAGGGCUAAGAAAAUGCACAUGGUGUGCCAUCUCUGUCAAUUAGAAAGAACACUAAAACAUGAGAAAUACUGUGUUGCUCUCUAGUUAAUAAAGGAAAGUUUCUUAACCUUUGUACAACAGCAAAACCCCACCUCAUAUCUGACCAGCCAGCAAUCUCUCCAGGAAUAUGGAAUGACACAUGCAAUUAGCAGAUUGCAGAAUCAACUAGGUUUCUGGGAGAUUGCCAGUUUGAUUUACCCUCACUGUGCUCUGCUGUGUUUUUCCCUAUUUGGGUUUCCAAGUGUCGUUCAAAGCAGUAUCGUUCUGAAAUCAAGCCUAGGCAGAGUAGGAGCACUGAAGGCCCCAUGGUUGUGACUGACUGCCUACUUGGUUCUGCUUUCUGUCUCCUGAACUCUAUUGCGCUAACCUCAGUCAACAGAUUUCGGGAGUAAAUCACACUUCUACAAAAAACACACACUCCAUUCACCCUCUUCAAGAGCGAUUUCUGGAAAAAUUUCUUCUUGAAGACAAAGAAAUCCAGGAGACUUACCUUGCUACAGCAGAUUCUUGGACUUAAAGUCAAAGGUGGUGUUUGUUUGAGGACACAGGAGGAAGUUUCUGUCUCGGAGCCCUGUUUUAAGAAAAAAACCAAGGGUGCUGACUUGGAUCAAACUCUUCUCAGUUUAACACAAGAGCCAGUUGCUUCUUCUACCAUGCUGUUGACAAACAGGGAGAUGUAUUAAUACGAAUUUGACACUUCCUCUAUCUCUGGGGAGGGCUGAGUGACUAAGAGCAACUUUCAGAUUGGAAAGAAAGGAGUCCCGCCCCUUUCCCACAAUCUCCCCAGGACAAGAGCCAAAAUUUCCUGGCACUGAGAGGUCGUGCUGUUAUCAUCAAUGCCUUUAGAGGGCGCCAAACUCUCAUCCUUCUCUGGGACACCCCGACUUCAUUAUCUGUCUUAAUUAUAUACUUUUAUUUUUGGAGAAUUCUUUUACAUGUAUUCAAUGAAAUAUAAUCAUAUCUGCUCGCCACUCUCCGUCAACUUCCCAAUCCUCCCAACACAUUCCAACACAAUGGCUUCAUUUUUUAGUUUGAUAACUAAGUAAGCUUAGUACUGCCUGAGUGUAGAUGAUAGGGGGUCAUUGACUAGAGCAUAGGAAACCUACCAGUGGCCACACUUUCAAAGAGUGAUUCUCCUCUUAAACCAAAUAGGAGCUAUGAAAAAAGUGAAAGAAAUAAAAUAAAAAGGAAAAAAUAA